UACGUAGGGUCCAAGCGUUAAUCGGAAUUACUGGGCGUAAAGCGUGCGCAGGCGGCUUCGCAAGUCAGACGUGAAAUCCCCGGGCUUAACCUGGGAAUGGCGUUUGAAACUACGGAGCUGGAGUGUGGCAGAGGGAGGUAGAAUUCCACGUGUAGCGGUGAAAUGCGUAGAUAAUGUGGAGGAAUACCGAUGGCGAAGGCAGCCUCCUGGGCCGAACACUGACGCUCAUGACACGAAAGCGUGGGGAGCAAACAG
rnacentral:rRNA from 1 species